rnacentral:rRNA from 1 species
CAACUAGGUAACCUGCCCAUGUGCCCGGGAUAACUUCUGAAACGGAUGCUAAAACCGGAUAGGUAGCAGACAAGCAUUUGACUGCUAUUAAAGUGGCUAAGGCCAUGAACAUGGAUGGACCUGCGGUGCAUUAGCUAGUUGGUGAGGUAACGGCCCACCAAGGCGACGAUGCAUAGCCGGCCUGAGAGGGUGACCGGCCACAUUGGGACUGAGACACGGCCCAGACUCCUACGGGAGGCAGCAUG